rnacentral:rRNA from 1 species
UACGAAGGGGGCGAGCGUUGUUCGGACUUACUAGGCGUAAAGGGCGCGCAGGCGGCGCACCAAGUCAGGCGUGACAGCCCCGGGCUCAACCUGGGAAUUGCGCUUGAUACUGGGGUGCUGGAGUUCGGGAGAGGAGAGUGGAAUUCCCAGUGGAGAGGUGAAAUUCGUAGAUAUUGGGAAGAACACCGGUGGCGAAGGCGGCUCUCUGGACCGAGACUGACGCUAAGGCGCGAAAGCGUGGGGAGCAAACAGG